rnacentral:rRNA from 1 species
UACGUAGGGUGCAAGCGUUGUCCGGAAUUAUUGGGCGUAAAGAGCUCGUAGGCGGUUCGUCGCGUCGGCUGUGAAAUCCCGAGGCUCAACCUCGGGUCUGCAGUCGAUACGGGCGGACUGGAGUUCGGCAGGGGAGACUGGAAUUCCUGGUGUAGCGGUGAAAUGCGCAGAUAUCAGGAGGAACACCGGUGGCGAAGGCGGGUCUCUGGGCCGAUAUUGACGCUGAGGAGCGAAAGCGUGGGGAGCAAACAGG